GAUGAACGCUAGCGGCAGGCCUAAUACAUGCAAGUCGAGCGGGAUUAAGUAGCAAUACUUAUGAGAGCGGCGCACGGGUGCGUAACGCGUAUGCAACCUACCCACAACUGGAGGAUAGCUUUCGGAAACGGAAAUUAAUACUCCAUAAUGCAGGGGUACCGCAUGGAACUAUUUGCUAAAGAUUUAUUGGUUGUGGAUGGGCAUGCGUCUGAUUAGUUAGUUGGUGAGGUAAGGGCUCACCAAGACCACGAUCAGUAGGGGGUCUGAGAGGAUGAUCCCCCACACUGACACUGAGAUACGGGCCAGACUCCUACGGGAGGCAGCAGUAGGGAAUAUUGGGCAAUGGGCGGAAGCCUGACCCAGCCAUGCCGCGUGAAGGAAGAAGGCCUUCUGGGUUGUAAACUUCUUUUAUACAGGAAGAAAAAGGUCAUGCGUGGCCUCUUGACGGUACUGUAUGAAUAAGCACCGGCUAACUCCGUGCCAGCCGCCGCCGUAAUAC
rnacentral:rRNA from 1 species